AGAGUUUGAUCNUGGCUCAGAGUGAACGCUGGCGGCACGCCUAACACAUGCAAGUCGAGCGAUAAGCUAACUUCGGUUAGUGGACAGCGGCGGACGGGUGAGUAUCGCGUGGGAAUUUACCAUAGAGUGGGGGACAACUGCUGGAAACGGCAGCUAAUACCGCAUACGCCCUAAGGGGGAAAGGCUUCGGCCGCUCAAUGAGAAGCCCGCGUACGAUUAGUUUGUUGGUGGGGUAAUGGCCUACCAAGACUACGAUCGUUAGCUGGUCUGAGAGGACGAUCAGCCACACUGGGACUGAGACACGGCCCAGACUCCUACGGGAGGCAGCAGUGGGGAAUAUUGGACAAUGGGCGAAAGCCUGAUCCAGCGAUGCCGCGUGAGUGAAGAAGGCCUUAGGGUUGUAAAGCUCUUUCGGUGGGGAAGAUAAUGACGGUACCCACAAAAGAAGCCCCGGCUAACUCCGUGCCAGCAGCCGCGGUAAUACGGAGGGGGCUAGCGUUACUCGGAAUUACUGGGCGUAAAGCGAGCGUAGGCGGUUUAAUAAGUUGAGGGUGAAAGCCCGGGGCUCAACCCCGGAAAUGCCCUCAAAACUAUUUGACUAGAGGACGGGAGAGGGGAGUGGAACUCCCNGUGUANAGGUGAAAUUCGUAGAUAUUGGGAAGAACACNAGUGGNGAAGGCGACUCUCUGGACCGUUUCUGACGNUANGCUCGAAAGCGUGNGUAGCAAACAGGAUUAGAUACCCUGGUUAGUCCACGCCGUAAACGAUGAUUUGCUAGACGUUGGGGGGAACGCNUCUCAGUGUCGUCNCUAACGCAUUNAUGCAAUCCGCC
rnacentral:rRNA from 1 species